AUCAAUAAGCGGAGGAAAAGAAACCAACAGGGAUUGCCUUAGUAACGGCGAGUGAAGCGGCAACAGCUCAAAUUUGAAAUCUGGCCCUUGGGUCCGAAUUGUAAUUUGUAGAGGAUGAUUUUGGUGCGGUAUCUUCCGAGUUCCUUGGAACAGGACGCCUUAGAGGGUGAGAGCCCCGUACGGUUGAAUGCCUAGCCUCUGUAAAUCUCCUUCGACGAGUCGAGUAGUUUGGGAAUGCUGCUCUAAAUGGGAGGUAAAUUUCUUCUAAAGCUAAAUAUUGGCCAGAGACCGAUAGCGCACAAGUAGAGUGAUCGAAAGAUGAAAAGCACUUUGAAAAGAGGGUUAAAUAGCACGUGAAAUUGUUGAAAGGGAAGGAUUUGUGACCAGACUUUUUCUGGGCGGAUCAUCCGGGGUUCUCUCCGGUGCACUUCGCCCAGUAAAGGCCAGCAUCGGUUUUCGGCGUGGGAUAAAAGCAGUAGGAAUGUGGCUCUCUACGGGGAGUGUUAUAGCCUAUUGUAUAAUACCGCGCUGGGGACCGAGGUUCGCGCUUCUGCAAGGAUGCUGGCGUAAUGGUUAUCAAUCACCCGUCUUGAAACACGGACCAAGGAGUCGAACAUUUGUGCGAGUGUUUGGGUGUUAAACCCUCACGCGUAAUGAAAGUGAACGGAGGUGAGAGCCCUUACGGGUGCAUCAUCGACCGAUCCUGAAGUUUUCGGAUGGAUUUGAGUAAGAGCAUAACUGUUCGGACCCGAAAGAUGGUGAACUAUGCGUGGAUAGGGUGAAGCCAGAGGAAACUCUGGUGGAGGCUCGCAGCGGUUCUGACGUGCAAAUCGAUCGUCAAAUCUGCGCAUGGGGGCGAAAGACUAAUCGAACCAUCUAGUAGCUGGUUACCGCCG
rnacentral:rRNA from 1 species